UUUUUUUUGGAUCAGGACACUGAAGUUCAGAAAGGUUAAAUGAUAUAUGAUCACACUGGUGAAUAGGCUACAAGAAGUUAAAUUCAUGGAAUUUAGAACUGAUUUUCUUCUCACUCCAAACCAGAAAAGGAAGUCCGUCAUCCUAAUCCUUUCCCACCUACAAGCUGUUGCUCAAAUCCAUGUGAAUGUAUGACACACCAUGUAAUGACAGAUUACAUGAUGGUAAAAAAAAAAUAAUUUUCUGACCUUUUAAAAUCCAUGUAUUCUCCCUCUCUUCCACCACUCCCUCUUCCUCAAGAUGGCCAAUGUAUAGAUUAUAUGUUUUAUUAUACAAUACAUAGUCCCAUGUUCAUUCCAUUGUAAAAGAAGAUACAUAUCACUUACACUAGAGAAAAAUUUGUGGAGGAAAUAAAAUGAAUGUCAUGAUACAAUCUGCAUUCAGACUCCACCAGUUGUUUCUAUGGUAGUGGAUAGCCUUUUUCAUUAUGCUUCUUUUAUCUGAUCCUUGCAUUGCUGAUAGUAGUUAAGUCAUUCACAGUUGAUCAUUGUAUUUUAUUGCUGUUACUGUGUAUUACAUUUUCGUGGUUCUUCUCACUUAACUUUGUAUCCCUUCAUGUAAGUCCAGGUUUUU